AUACGUAGGUGGCAAGCGUUGUCCGGAUUUACUGGGUGUAAAGGGCGCGUAGGCGGGAAUGCAAGUCAGAUGUGAAAUCCAUGGGCUCAACCCAUGAACUGCAUUUGAAACUGUGUUUCUUGAGUGAUGGAGAGGCAGGCGGAAUUCCUAGUGUAGCGGUGAAAUGCGGAGAUAUUAGGAGGAACACCAGUGGCGAAGGCGGCCUGCUGGGCAUCAACUGACGCUGAGGCGCGAAAGCGCGGGGAGCAAACAGGAUUAGAUACCCUGGUAGUCCGCGCCGUAAACGAUGAAUACUAGGUGUGGGGGGACUGACCCCUUCCGUGCCGGAGCAAACGCAAUAAGUAUUCCACCUGGGGACUACGGUCGCAAGAUUGAAACUCAAAUGAAUUGGCGGGG
rnacentral:rRNA from 1 species